rnacentral:rRNA from 1 species
AUUGAACGCUGGCGGCAGGCCUAACACAUGCAAGUCGAACGAGUGGCGGACGGGUGAGUAAUGUCUGGGAAACUGCCUGAUGGAGGGGGAUAACUACUGGAAACGGUAGCUAAUACCGCAUACCAUCGGAUGUGCCCAGAUGGGAUUAGCUAGUAGGCGGGGUAACGGCCCACCAAGGCGAUGAUCAGUAGCCGGUCUGAGAGGAUGAACGGCCACAUUGGGACGUAGACACGGCCCAGACUCCUACGGGAGGCAGCAGUGGGGAAUAUUGCACAAUGGGCGCAAGCCUGAGGCAGCCAUGCAGCGUGUAUGAAGAAGGCCUUCGGGUUGUAAAGUACUUUCAGCGGGGAGGCGUUACCCGCAGAAGAAGCACCGGCUAACUCCGUGCCAGCCGCCGCGGUAAUAC